rnacentral:lncRNA from 1 species
AUGACCCAAAGGGCUAUCACAUGUUUUCUCUCUCCUUCCGUACUUUCGAGUCCUUAAAACCCUCAAUUUUUAACUUGCCUGGAUUUACGUGUGCAGUCGGCCGCGUAGCCGAAAAGCUUAUAUGUUAAAUUCUUUGAAAGUUACUAAAAUUUUGCUUUAAAAAUGAUUAAAGUUGACUUUGGUCAACAAUUUGGGUAAACGGACCCAGACCCGUGAUUUGAUGGUCCUGGAGGAUCUGUUGGAACUCGAGCAUAUGCCCGGAAUCGAAAUCCGAAGUCCCCAGCCCGAGAAAUAAAUUUUUAAAGGAAAUUAUUUUUCUAAAAUUUAUAUGGAAAUUUUAAAUGAAAAUGGAUUAGAAAGUGAUGGUAUCAAGCCCAUAUAUUGGUUCUGGCACCCAGUAGAAGUCUUAUAUGCGGUUUAAGACGUUUCUGUGUAAUUUGGUUGAAAUCUGACAUCAUUUGACAUAUUUCAAACCUAAAUAUCUAAAAAUGGAAGUUGAUGAAGUUUGAUGAAAAAGUGUUUAUUCUGAGGUUUAAUUCCAUGUUUAUGAUGUUAUUUUUGCGAUUUGAUCGCGCGGUUAAGUUCAUAGGAUGUUGUCGUUAGUAUGUGUAUUUGGUUAGGAGCCACGAGGGCUCGGGAGUGUGUUCGGGGUUGUUUUGAAGUUAGGAAAAAUUGCAGAAAAAUCUGCUGUUGGUGCACAGGAGGUUCCUUCUUCGUGUUCGCAAUGUCCUCUCGCGUUCGCAUAGCUUUGAAUCCCCUCUUCUUUGUGUUUGCAUCCCUAUCAUCGCGAUCGUGUAAGACAUGUUCAGGACCCCAGAAACUUCUCUCUUCGCGUUUGCAGUCAGCCGUUUAUGAACGCAUAGACUUUCUG